AAAGUUUUCUUUUUUUCCCCUCCAAAUGAAAAAGAAAAGAAAUGCAAAAGGGUUUGGUUGGUAUAAAUGUUGAGCAAUAUUGGUUGAAAAGGAUAGGGAGAGAGUGAGAGAUAGAAAGCAAGCAAGAAAACAAAGAGCCCUAAUGCAUAUAGAUCAAAAUAGGCCAUUUUGAGUGAUAGAUAUUAUAGUUGAAAUCUUAGGUAUGUGCAGCAUAGGACUGUGCCAAAAAUAGGAGGAUGAGUUUGCAGAUCUGAUCUGACUCAUUCAUUAGAGUGGUAGAAAUUAGAAAAUAGAGAAGAAAGAGUGAAUCAACAUUUGUGGAUGUUUUGCUAUGAACAAUUAAUAUACGUGGUAGCUUCUGCCAGUGCCAUUAUAUGCUAUUGAAUAUUUAGAAGAGGGGACACACAGUGGAGUAGAGAUAUUGACAGAAGAGAGUGAGCACAUGCUGCAGUGAUUGUAUGAUAGCAUACAAUUCUUGGUGCGUGCUCACUUCUCUUUCUGUCAUCUUAUCAACUCUUCAUUUCUUUCUGUGUCUCUUUUUCCAUUUCCUUUCCAUAGAUCUCAUCUCUUUAAUCAAGUUUUCUGAUGAUUCCACUCCAUUAAUCCAUCUUCUGGCUCAUUGUUGUAAUUUUCUUCACCAAGUCUUCUCUCACUGCCCUUCACUUGUGCUUGCCGAAAAAUGAAGUCUCUUAUCUUUAAACAAGAUAUGUGAAUCUUCUUGUUUCAAGUUCGAUCAAUUGCCUUAUCUAUCUUUUUUUUUCUUUGAAUAAUCAAGUCCUUUAUUCAUGUUUUUUUUUUUUUUUUUUAAUUGAAGCCCUUAUCUAUUUCAUUCUGACCCUAUUCUUUUGGGUGCAUAUUUUUUAUUAAUUUUUUUAAGCAGCGAAAUAUUCAUCGUCUUUGUAAUAACUAAUUUUUAUUGUGGAACCUGAUGAAGACUAUCUUUGGUUAAAUUUUUUCUCCCAAUUGUAUAUUUUUCACCUACAAUUUUCAAAAGACAAUGUUUAAAGGAUUCCAAUUUAGUUUUACUCCAAACAAUAUAAUGCAUGUAUUUGUGACUUAAUAUUUUCAUUUUAAUGUGUCUAGCGGUGAAACUCACACAAUAAAUAUAUACUGAGAAAUGCUGGUUCAAACUAGCUCCCUUGCAUAUCAUAUGUCCAUAGAACCUCUUUUGUUUUUUGGUUCAUAGAUCCCAUAAAGCCUUACUAUAUGAGAUGUACUUACAUAUAUUUGUGUCUUAUUUUAAUUAUACGUUUCUCUAUUAUUUGUACUUUAAUUUUUUUAAUAAUGAUAAAGCUUAGUUGCGUUUACUUAUGUGUUUUUGGGUGAUUCUUCAUAUAAAAUUAAUCAUUUGUGUUUAUAAUAAACUUUGAGAAAAUUGUGAAUUUGAGAAAUCAUAGGUAAUUAUGAGUAUUUUAUAUGAAGAACAACACAAAAAAUUCUUAAAGAAAUACACCUAAAUUUUGUCCUUUUAAAAAAUUAAUUUUUAUCUGCUUAAUUUAUACAACAUUCAAUUAUAUUUCACCAUUUAAAUUUUAUGCAUCGUUUAAACUAUUUUAUAACAUGCAUUCAAUCAUAUCUUACCACAUAAAUUGUGUAGAGAUAUUAUAUAGUGUGGUUUUAUACAUACAUUCAAUCAUAUAACAUGUAGAAAUCAUUUUAAAGCGUGAUUUGAUUAGAUGCAUGUAAACAAUAUAUGUAAAUUAGGAAGUUAGAUUGAGUUAAUGAUAAGAAGUUAGAGGUUUAGGUUGAAAACCAGACAAAAGAGAAAAAUUAAUCUUAUAAUUAAUUACUAACAUUUUUCAUUAAAUAAAACAAUGAGCAAAUUAUAAUUAGAAUAAAAUAAAAUAAUCCCCAUUAUUUUUAUUUUUUUUAAGGAAAAGUAAGCUUCAUUCUAUGAUUACUAUUUUUUGAUUAUAAUAAUAUAAAAGAAUAAUAUUAAUUUAUUUAUGCUGCAAUUGUGAUCAUGGAAGUAGAUCAAAGCGUGGCUUUUUAUGGUACUUGUCUUUCAUGAUUUCAUUAUCCGAAAUCCAAAUGGAGUUUCUCUUUCUCAAAUCAAAGCUAGCUAGGUGUGGACGGGAAUGGAUAUAUACAGUGAAACCGGAGUUCAUCAAGCACCAACCUCCUUGAUAAUACAGGUGUAACAUACCAUGUGGAGUCACUAGCAAGGGCUACCCCAACCAUCUACACACUGCAUACCAAACUGAAUAACAGAAGUCAAAACAUUCCAAAAUAAUGGACUUUUGAUUUUUUUUGGGGGGUGCUCCGAGAACAGUUAACACGACGUGGCAUUGACAUCCCCAAUAACCCUCCUCCAAAAUAGUUUAAGCCAAGUAGGGAGUGUUUUUAAGGAGAUGAUCCGUUUUCUAUGGUUCGUUAUGUUACCAGGCUGUGGUCAUAGCAAUUGGUUUUGGUAAGCAAGUUGUCUGUAAAAUAGCAGUAGAUAUGCCUGUAUGCACUCUAACAUGACAUGAGGAGAUAAUUAUGAUCUACUGAGGUUAUUAUAUGAAAAGCCUUAUACAGAGGGAUAUACUAAUGCAGGUAACUUGGAAUGCUCUAUGUGGAUAUCUCUUAAUUCUAGGAUCAAAAUGUAUAAUUAUCAAAAGUAGGUCUGUGUAUAAGUAAAAAUAUAGCUACUAUUUUGGCUAGAUUGAAAGGUGGUUGUUUUUCUUUUAAGGAGAUUAAAAGGUGGUUGUAAAAUCAAAUAUAGUGGUAGGGACUACUUCUCAAACUCAGUUCUAGAUAAAAAGUAGUCAUUAAGCAUGUCAACUUUUGGAAAGUUUUUCUGGUAAGUAGCAGUUUCCAUUACCAUAACUUAGUUCCCUUCCACAGAAUUUGAAAAUUGUAUUAGAGAAGCCUUAACCUCUAGCAAUUUAAUUUUUGUCUUUAAUAGCUAGUAUAGCUAUAACUUGUAUUUACUUGAGUCUAUCUGUGUUGGAAUAUAUUUUAAUUAAAUGUCAUAACCAUUAUCAUAGUCAUGACUUCAUUAAGUAGAAUUUGUUGGUUUGCCUUCAUCCUUAGGUUUAAGAGAAAUGUUGUUAGCACACUUUCUAACGUAUUCUCAUUUAUAUGAGAGCCCCAAUAAAUAUACGGCGAUGCUAUAUAUAGCGAACCAAUCACGAAUCAAAUGCAGCCGUUGGAUUAUCCUCCAUUUGACUAAAUACAUGGCUUAGUGAAAGCAAAUAGGACCCACUUCAUAUGCAUACUAAUUGUCGUGAUAAUUUCGCGAGCCGGUAUGUCGCGAUAUAUAUCAUUAUCCCUAAAUAUAUAUAGUAUAUGAUUUAAUAGGAUUCAUGUGAAAAGAGCGUGUUAGAGAAUAUAUUGUGGGGAUUGGCUAUCCCUCAAGGCUUAACUUGAUGAAGGCACGUUACAUUCAUUACCCGUGAUGUAAGUAUUGCUUACUCAUGAGCUAAAGUAUACAUACCCAAAAAGAAAGGGAUUAUAUUCAAUGAACUAGCCACUCCCAAAAAGAAAGUUAUUAUCUUACAACUUUUAAUCAUAAUAUAAUAUAUAUUUCUAUAACACUCUCUUAUAGCUUAUGAGCUAGACAAGAUCGUGCGACUAUUGUCUUGUUUCGAAAUUUAGUUUAGCAAAGAGAAAUUGGAUAUAGCAAAGGGUUUAUCUCAUUACUACAUAGCUGACUAUGAUGUUUUACAUUUGAGGGAAGCAUUCAUCCCAGAAGAUUCAAAUAUUAGGUAAAGCUUACGAAUGGGUUUUAUAUAACAAAACUUGAGCAAUUCUUCCCAUUGGAAAGUUAGUGCGGUGGAUUGUGAUCAUUUGCUUGAAUGUAUUUAUAUAUUAUAUACACUUCUGUAGUUUCUCAGAAGAGUAAAAUUAUCAGCCUUUACAGAUUCCUAUUUUCUUCAACAUAAUAUUAGGAAUGAACAGCAUUGUCACUACCACUAUAUUGAUAUGAUGUUAUUUGUAAUUUUCUAGGGUUCAAAAUAAUAGAAAAGUAUUAAAGUGAUUUAGGAUCUAUGAAUUCCAUAUGAUUGUUACAAAUUAGUUACAAUAUGUCAAUAUCAUAGAGGAAAAGAUUACUUUUCUCUAUCCAUUGCCUUAGAAACGGAGAGUAUUCUUUGGCGCCCUUCAUUACUCAAGGGAGGUAGAAACUGAUUUCUAUCCUUGGUUUCCCAUUUCUGAAUCCUUCUGUGCUUAUGAUGGUUAGAUAAAGUAGCUAACGAUGCCGUUAGCCCGUUACAUCAAGAAAAGGAUUUGCUUCCCAUUUAAAAUGGAUAAAUAGGAUUUGUUUCACAUUUAAUAAGAAAAAUAAGAUUAAAAAUAUAUUCAAAACUGUAGCCAAAAAAUUGUGUUGCUAGCGUUACUAGUAAAUGUAAUGCAAAUUGAUAGGAUUUUAUUAUACAUUUCAUAUUAGAAUAUUACAAAUUUAAUUAUGUCUUUUUAUUAUGGGAUUAGAUCAUUUAACUAUUCAUAAAUCAUAAUCUUAUUCUUAAUUGGAUUUUGAUUUCUUACCAAAUUUUGCAUUGGUAAUUUUUUAAUAUUAAGCUUGAUCUGGAACACUUGUAUUAGUAUUUUGUUGUGGCUCAUUUAACUAUUUUACUAGCCAUAUUAUCAGGCUAAGAGGUAUUAAUCCUCAAACUGCGAUACACCUAUGUGCAGUACAUCAUCACAUAAGGAAACGACUCAUCUGUCUGAAAUUCAUGAUAGAAAAGAUAGGAAGUUUUGAGCACUAACACAUAAAACGUGAACACUGACAAAGUAACAUAAGAUCUAUGAUCUACUGAUGUUAUUAUAUGAAAUGCAGUACUACAGGCUAUAUAUAUGCAGGUCACAAGGAAUGCUAUACGUGGAGAUAUCUUAUUCCAGGAUCCAAAUGUAUUAUUAUAAAAAAUUCGGCCGGUAUAUAACCAGGAAUUUAACCACAAUUUGGCUAGAUUCAAAGUGGUUGAUAUAAAUCAUACAUAAUGGUACGGACUACUUCUCAAGCUUUGUUGCUAGAGGAACAAGCAUGUCAACUUAGCUCUGGUUUGCAUUAUCAGACAUAUGUACGUGAUGCCAAGUGAUUGCGAAAACGGGAGCACAGAAGAUGCACAUUUACAUGCUUCUAUUCUAUUUCAUCAGUGUGACUUUGGGAAUGGAUCCUUUUCAAUGUUCCAAAGUAUGGGUUGCACUAGCACAACAAACAAAUAUGUCAUAAUAGUACAUCUAUCAUGUUUGGUGACUAACAAGAUUUCCAAAGUGAUGUAAAGAAUGAACUUGUGGUUCGCAGAAGACAAUUUGUUGAUGAAAAUGCACAAGUUGGUGUAGUGGUGCAUAGUGGGUAGCAUACAUAGUUUAGACAACAGACUGGCAGGACAGCAACAGAUAUGAAUGUUUUUUUGUGAAAAUGUAUUCAUUGGAUCCUUUUGUUCUUAGUUAGUUAAUAAUUCAUUAUAACAUGCAUAAUAGUUUGUUGUGUUGGCUUAUGUCAUCCAUCCAAUUGAUUUGAGGACUCUGGUUAAUAAACUAAAAGGUAGAUAAUGUUAAUUGUUAUCAUCUCUA